rnacentral:rRNA from 1 species
CUAGUAAUCACAGGUCAGCAUACUGUGGUGGAUACGUUCCCGGGCCUUGUACACACCGCCCGUCACACCAUGAGAGUUGAGAAUACCCGAAGCCCAUGUCAAAGUGGUCGAAGGUAGGCUUGAUGAUUGGGGUGAAGUCGUAACAAGGUACC